rnacentral:lncRNA from 1 species
GCAUGACACCAGCAUCUGCUUCUGGUUGGGCCUUAGAAAGUUUACAAUCAUAACAAAAGGUAGAGGGAGAGCCAGGAGUGUCACAUGGCCAGAGGAAACAAGAGAGAGAGAGGGAAGGGGUGCCACGCUCUUUUUAACAACCAGAUUUUAUGCAUCAAUCCAUUCAUGAGAGAUCCAUCCCCAUAACCCAAACACUCCCAGUAGGCUCUACCUCCAACACUGGGGAUCACAUUUCAACAUGAGAUUUGGAAGGGCCAAAAUAUCCAAACUGUGUCAGAAUCCAAACAUGGGCUGUUUGAUUACGUGGAAAAUUGUCCAGGUUUCCUUAUCGCUCAUGAAACUCUUUUAUAUCCAUCCUACAGAGAGAUGACUCAUGGCCCAGGUGAAAUUCAGGUCCAAGCUCUGGAGAGUGUGUGGGGACUGGUGAAAAGACAUGGUUUUAUUGUUAUCUGUUUAGUUCCUGCUGCGGAAGAUGAGACUCUCGCUCUCUUUGUCAUUUCCCCACAUGCACAGAAACACACAUAUUUCUACUUUUCUCAUCCUCUCAACAGGCUAUCAUAACUUUGGUUAAAUCAAUAGUCAGUGUUUGUAUAUUAUUAUUGGAUAAAUAUUACUUACAGUGGAACCCAUUUUGUGUAUGAUUAGAUAUUCUUUCUUGUAGAACUUUAUGUUUAUCCAGGAGUUAAUACUUAUCUGAUUAUUUUCAGUUGCUUAAUGUCCUAUACACCUGUUAUUAAUUUAUGCUGAACUCUCCAACAGAAACUGAAAUCUUGUCUUACUAUGUUUAAACACAUUGGGUAUUCUACAAGUUUCUUUUCUUAUUUAUGUAUAAUUCUCCUAGGGCUUUCCAUCUUCCUGCUCUAGUCUAAACUGGUUGUUCUCUAGGCCAGUGGCAAUGUUAUCAUCCUGAUAUUCUCCUUCACCAUCAGCCUGGGAGUUCUGUUGGUUUUUCUCCUGUAUGGAAUCCUCUAUUUCCUGUUAUUUUUAAAAACUUGGUGUCAACCCUAAUUUUCAUGGGUAUAUUUAUGCAAUAACUUUUCAGAAAAAGAUACAAAAAAAGCAACAUUUUUUUUCCUGUGAUUUUGCUUACUUGAAAAUAUCUUUAUUCCAUGGGUCAGCCAACUAUAGGCUGUAGGCUAAAAUCCUCCCAUUUUAGUGAAUAAGGUUUUAUUAGAAUACAGCCACAUCCAUUUGUUUACUUAUUAUAUAUUAUGCCACAAUGGAAGAUUUGAGAAAUUGCAAUAAAGAACAUUUAGAUGAUAAAAUCUACAACAUUUAUUAUCUGGACCUUUACGAAGCAAAUAUUUGCUAACACUUGCUUUAUUCUAUGUUCACACAAAAUUGUUAAUUUUGCUAGAUAUAGAAUUUUAAAGGGCUUUUUUUUUAUCUUCUAGCUUCCAGAGUGAAUGUUUAAUAGCCUUACAACAUUCUGAUUCCUAAUCCUUUAUAUAAAAACUGUUAUUUUGUUUGUUUUUGGAAGCUUCUGAAACCUUCUCCUUGUUCUUGGUAUGAACACUUGUUUUUCUAAUGCAAUAAACACAUGAUGAACCCACUCAACAUAAAAUCAAAC